UACGAAGGGGGCUAGCGUUGCUCGGAAUUACUGGGCGUAAAGCGCACGUAGGCGGUCUUUUAAGUCGGGGGUGAAAUCCUGGAGCUCAACUCCAGAACUGCCUUCGAUACUGGAAGACUCGAGUCCGGGAGAGGUGAGUGGAACUGCGAGUGUAGAGGUGAAAUUCGUAGAUAUUCGCAAGAACACCAGUGGCGAAGGCGGACCAACUGGACCAAUACGUGACGCUGAGGCGCGGAAAGCGUGGGGAGCAAACAGGG
rnacentral:rRNA from 1 species